AUCCAAUUUUCCUUUUCUAUUCAUUUUCAUUUUUUAUUUUAUUUUAUUUUUUUUUUUUCUUUUUUUCAUUGAUUUUAAGGUGUUGCAUGCACAUCUGUGCGUAUGUAUGUACGUAUAUAAGUUGCCCGUAUAUACGUGUAUAUACAUAAAUAUAUGUAUAUAUACACACGUGUAUGUAAAAUGCAUGCGCGUAUGUGUAAGUACGCGUAUAUAUAUGUGUAUGCGUAUAUAUGUGUGCGAAACACACAUACACGCGCGGCAAGGUACGCUUUUACAAUUCUUUUUUCUCUCUUCGUUUCAUUUCAUUUAUUAAAACACUCGGUCAUUUUAUAUAAAAUAUUUAAAUUUUAAUAUAAAUGAUUUUAAAAUCUUCAACUUUUCUAUAAUAUAUUCAUAUAAAAAAAUAUUAUACAUUAUAGUCCCCCUUCAUAAAACUUGUAUAAACAGAAAUCAUUAUAUCUCCAAAAAUAGCGGAGAAAUACAUAUUCAUUAACAGAAUCAUCGAAGUGAUUUUUAUUUUUAUGUUCAUUUUUUAAAUUAAAAUAUAUUUAUUUGAAUUUCUAUAUCUCUACGAAUUUUUUUUUUAAUCUAUUUUAUAUAAUUCUUUCAUAUUGAUUUUUUUUUUUUGACAUUUGGGAAUUGCUUUGUAAUAUGUUAUUAAACGAUUAUUGAUUUCUUGAUCUGAUCUGAUGAUAUGAACAUUUUUGUGAUCUUUGUAAAUGAAUUUGUAUUUAUGUAAUCUCGCUAUUUAUUUCUCAAAUAGGUAUCUCUAUUUUUUUUUUUUUACUUUUUUUUCAUCAACAAUAAAUAAAAUAUUUAACAAUUUUUAUUAAUAAAAAUAUAUCGAAAAAUAUUUUUAUAUAUUUGAUAUAAUUUUAUUUUUCAAUAUCUUGAAUUUUAAAAAUAUUAAUUUUGUUCUAAAUAUUUUUAAUCAAUACACGAGCCAAUGCAUCAUGAACAAUUUUCGCAUCAUUUCUAAAACAGUUUUUAAUUUCUUUUAAAAAGUUUCUUCGAAAUAAUGAGGAAUAAGAAAAAUUUCUUCUUUAAUAAAACUUCGCACGAUAUAUCAUUAUUAUUAUUCAAAUACUACUCUUACAACAACAAGCUAUGUAUACUUGUAGAAGUAAUGCAAGCUUGUGUAUAAAGCUUCAUCUUCAUUAUUACCAUUAUCAUCCUACAUACAUAUAUUAACAAAUGAUCUUUAUAUACCCAAUAUAGAAGAAAAAAAAAAAAAAACAAGCUACGAUGAUUCUGAACUUAAAUGCAUAAAACAACUUUUCUUUUAUGGAAGCUUAUCUACAACUGAAACGUCAAUACACAAUUUAUUAUGCACUCAGGAAUUAAGCAGCCUCAGAGUACCUUGUACGUGUGCUAUGCGUGUAAAUUGCAUGCAAGAAUUUACGCGACAGGAAUCUACUGUGUUAAAAAUGAUGUGUAAUUGUGUGCCAGUCUUGCUGUGAUAUACCAUAUUAUUAUUAACGUGUAUACGAUGGAUGAUAUAUAUCAUAAUGCAUCAUAUGUCUCUUGAUGUGCGUGUGCUGUUGAAUAUAAUGAGAUGUACAUGCACAAAUCUGUCUGUUUAUCUAUAUGUUCGUCUCUAUCUGCCGUGUACAUGACAGUCGAAGCUCUUUAAUUAAUAAGGAAAGAACUUCAAGAUAUUUAACAGUCAACUUGCACCUAUAUACAUAUAUAAAAUCUUAAACAUGCGAUAUAUUAAUAUUACAGACAUACAUAGGAAGGUUAAUCUAAAGUAUUUUGCAAAUUUGAGGCGAAUGUGCAUUUAUAUUAUACAAUUCUACUUUCUUUGGUUGGAAAAAAGGAAGAAAAACUAUAAGAAAGAUAGUCUUUAAAUCAAAGGAAGCUAAAAAUAAUUAAUAAUAAUCCUGGAGUUUCUAAAUGAAAAUUCUUAAAACGGUGAUUGAAAGACUAAUGUUAUAAAUAUUGAAUUUACAUUGUUUUAAAUAGAUUUAUCUCGCUGAAGAUUUUUAUGAUUCUUCACUCAUGACUCUGAUUAGUUUCCAGGUUGCUGAUCGCAUAAUUUUUUGGAGUUAUAAAAACAACUGGCCUCUAUCUCAAAAGUAUUUGCAUGCUGCAAUUGGCCAUUCAAUUCUAUGUCAAGCUUUUCAAGCUUUGUUCAUUACACGAAGGUUCGAGUUGCUUUGUGUAUCGUUCGAUCUUGAUGAUAUUGAGAAACAUUGAAGAAUCCUUAUGCGAUCAUGAUUUGCAAGUAUAAUCAAUCCAAUAUUAAUGCACGUAUCAAAAUCAAUUCUCAAUUCUUCAAGAGCCGAUAUUCCAAGUGAUUUUCGAUCCUAUUAAACACGAGCAGCUAGCACGAAGCCUCGUGUACUUCAGGAUUCUCUUCCCUUUUUAUAUACACAAACACUUAUAUAUAUAUAUAUAUAUCUGCAAAAAGACACAUUAAGAAGGCUCUUAACAACUGGGAACUUGACUAACAAGAACGAAGACCUCAGAAAAAAUAAUCUACAAUAACAGAUACAAAGAAACCAAUAGUAAUAAUAACAACAACAGAGACACAUAAGCCAGUAUAUCAGGAAUAAAAUACUGAUGUAAACGCAUUACAAAAAAAAAAAAAAAA
rnacentral:lncRNA from 1 species